AGCUGCUGGGUUUUCGCCAGGAAAACUCGGGAGAUAUGCAUGCUGUCGCUGCACAUGAGCUGUUGUUCACUAGUUCUGCCCUCUUGGUGCGUGGUUCUAGUUUCCACAGCAAGGCUGUUUUCUUGUGUGUGCUUUGAGGGGCAAUGCCUAAAUUCUCUUUAAAGAGCUGGUUUAUGAUUACCCCAAAUGUACUUAAAGCCUGCUGGAAAUAUUCCCCUGAUCUUUUAGGGACAACAGGUCAAAUGGUUUUAUUUCCAUCAGCAGGUGUCUGAGCAAAAUAAAAGCAGAUUUCUUUAAACAGUCAAAGAAGUUCCCAGUACAACAGAGAAACCUGUGCCUGCCGGGUGACAGACCUAUGGAUAUGCACCCUAAUAAGACUUCUCCAAUCUGUACCGUGAGAUCCAGCUGCCCCUGACACUUGGCCCCUACAGGAUGCGCUCAGUCACCAGCGUGGGAAGAUUGGGCCUUUCCCGUCAGAAUUCACACGACCAGUUACUCGGCACACAGGUCUCCUUCCGUAGAGGGGAAAGCUUAACGAGUGACAGGCAGUCUGUCUUAAGUUGGUAAGGCUGAGGAUCAGCACGCACGUCAGCCCCUUUCAAGGAAGCGGCUAUUGAGAACACCACUAAUAGGAAAUUUUGCUAGAAAAGGGAACUGUGUGUGUUCCAGCACGGGGCACAUAGCAGGCCCCCAGACGGUGCGUGGAGUGGGCACAUAAGGGAGGGAGCUGCGCCUGGAUCUUAGAAGGGUUCUCCAGAAACACCCUGUGGAAUGGACGGUGUGGGACAGGUCCACUGGCGGUCCCGGAGCAUUUGCUGGGCCCGGUUGCUUAGUACCGAUGAGAAGGAGCCGUGCCGAGUGCCGUCCUCAGGCCCCCUCCCUGAGGCCUCAGCUCUCCUGUAGUCAGGACUGGUGCCAUGCACCCCACAGAGGAGUAAACCGAGGCUCCUAGAAAACCAGACCACGGUCACCUGUCGCGGUGCCAGAUGCCAGACUGCGCACUUGCCAACAUGAUGGCUCGCUUCAAGCGGUGCAGUUCAGGUCGUGGUCGCUUCCCGCGGGGGUGCUGAGAACACCCCGCGACCAUGGCGGUGUUCCGUCUCCCGUCAGCCCUUCGCUAGAGACAACAAUCUGGUUUGGCCCACCUCUUGAAACGCUCCAACCUAAGACUUUGGGAAAUGCACCAUGGCUUCAGGGAGAACUCUUCGGCUGGAAGACUGAGAUUGUAAGGAGGAAUGAGACAGUGAACAAACACUGAUAACUGGCCAGUGGAAAUCGACCCCAUCAGUGUGCAUAGAAAGUAGAAAGUGUUUGGCUUUUCAAAAUAAUACAUAGGCUGACAGCAUGUUCCUUUUGUGACAACUCUGUGUUAGGUAAAUGUUACCAGCCUCAGUUAACAAACCGGAAACGCAAAGCCCCAGACAGUUGAAUGACUCCUCCGAGGCCCAGGCCCCGUGGCUGGAUACACGGCACAGCCAGAGCACAGCCUGGCCACGGGCUCGUCCAUAGGACUUGCGAAGGCAGAGACUUUGCUGAGCCUCCCCUCCCAGAGCCAACCUGUGGGAUUGCCUAGCACAGUGCAUUGUACAUAGAUUUGUUGAAUUAACCCAGAAUGUUCUUAGAAUAGAAUUUUCUAGUUAAUUGGACUUUCCUUGCUACCUGAGUAUCAACCAGAAAAUUCUGUGUUUUAACUCUUUUUAAGUAUGUGUAUUUUACUGCCUGGAUCGGGAAACACAACACAA